AUCAACUUUCGAUGGUAGGAUAGAGGCCUACCAUGNNCNGUAACGGGUAACGGGGAAUUAGGGUUCGAUUCCGGAGAGGGAGCCUGAGAAACGGCUACCACAUCCAAGGAAGGCAGCAGGCGCGCAAAUUACCCAAUCCCGACACGGGGAGGUAGUGACAAUAAAUAACAAUACGGGGCUCUUUCGGGUCUCGUAAUUGGAAUGAGUACAAUUUAAAUCCCUUAACGAGGAACAAUUGGAGGGCAAGUCUGGUGCCAGCAGCCGCGGUAAUUCCAGCUCCAAUAGCGUAUAUUAAAGUUGUUGCAGUUAAGAAGCUCGUAGUUGAAUUUCGGGAUUGACACAUCGGUCGUGCCCUAAGGGGUAUGAACUGGUGUCGUCAGUUUCUCACCUUCUGGAGAACCGCGAUGUCCUUAAUUGGGUGCCGCGAGGAACCAGGACCUUUACUUUGAAAAAAUUAGAGUGUUUAAAGCAGGCAUUUUGCUUGAAUACAUUAGCAUGGAAUAAUAAAAUAGGACGGAUGGUUCUAUUUUGUUGGUUUCUAGGAUCACCGUAAUGAUUAAUAGGGAUAGUUGGGGGCAUUAGUAUUCAAUUGNCAGAGGUGAAAUUCUUGGAUUUAUUUGAAGACUAACUACUGCGAAAGCAUUUUGCCAAGGAUGUUUUCAUUAUCAAGAACGAAAGUUAGGGGAUCGAAGACGAUCAGAUACCGUCGUAGUCUUUA
rnacentral:rRNA from 1 species